GAUUGGGACAAUUAACUCGGUCAUCCUCGAAAAUAAAUAGUAACCUCUCUCCUGCGAAGCUGCAAUCUUUCCAUCCUAUCCAAUUCUUCUCGUUGAAGCUUAUUGCUGUCGGACAGCUGAAGCACAAAAAUGGAUCCCUUUGAGCUAGAGAAGGGCAGCAAUGCCCUAAAUACUGUGCCCAAACCGGAUCUCCCCGGGACUGGGGUUAAUAAAAAUAUGUGGAAGCAGAUGGGCAAUGAAGAAAAGAAGACUGCUGUCAACGAGGAAAUGAUAAGAUUGAACAGGCUGCCCGCCAACAGCAGUUAUGCUUCUCACCGAUUGCGGGUCUUGGACAAAAUGCUGCAGCUGCUGUCGAUUCAGAGAACCACAUCUCAAGAUGAGGAGUUGGAGUUGCUUUUUGCUGGGCUUCAUAUCUGAGGACAUUUUAAUAUUUGAAGGCAGAAGGUUGAACCAUGGAAGAAAUUCUUCACUCAAAGAGUGCUGGAACAUUACAAUGCUCUAGAAGUGACUGUAUUUAUGGCUUCAUGAUAAGUACCAUGUGAAUAUUUUGUGUUUCACUCUACUGGAAUCUGAAGUUUGGUGUGGUUACUCUUUUUAAUGUUCUACUGUGUAGUACCGAAGGGGCAUAACUUCAUAACAUGCACAUAAACAAAACUUGUUUUUGGCUUCA